AACGUAGGAGACAACCGUUAUCCGGAGUUACUGGGCGUAAAGCGUGCGCAGGCGGUUCGUUAAGUCAGCUGUGAAAGCCCCGGGCUCAACCUGGGAAUUGCGGUUGAAACUGGCGAACUAGAAUCUGGCAGAGGGGGGUGGAAUUCCACGUGUAGCAGUGAAAUGCGUAGAGAUGUGGAGGAACACCGAUGGCGAAGGCAGCCCCCUGGGCUGAGAUUGACGCUCAGGCACGAAAGCGUGGGGAGCAAACAGG
rnacentral:rRNA from 1 species